UACCAGACUCCUACGGGAGGCAGCAGUGGGGGAUAUUGCACAAUGGGGGCAACCCUGAUGCAGCGACGCCGCGUGGGUGAAGGAGUAUUUCGGUAUGUAAAGCCCUAUCGGCAGAGAAGAAGCAAGACGGUACCUGACUAAGAAGCCCCGACUAACUACGUGCCAGCAGCCGCGGUAAUACGUAGGGGGCGAGCGUUAUCCGGAUUCACUGGGUGUAAAGGGAGCGUAGACGGCCAAGCAAGCCAGGGGUGAAAGCCCGGGGCCCAACCCCGGGACUGCCCUUGGAACUGCAUGGCUGGAGUGCGGGAGGGGCAGGCGGAAUUCCUGGUGUAGCGGUGAAAUGCGUAGAUAUCAGGAGGAACACCGGCGGCGAAGGCGGCCUGCUGGACCGCGACUGACGUUGAGGCUCGAAAGCGUGGGGAGCAAACAGGAUUAGAUACCCCGGUAC
rnacentral:rRNA from 1 species